GCCGCGGUAUAUUGACCGUGCGAAGGUAGCAUAAUAAUUAGUUUCUUUAUUGGGAGCUGGAAUGAAUGAUUGGACGAGAGAGUUUCUGUCUCUAUAAAAUUUUUUAUUGAAUUUAACUUUUGAGUUAGAAGGCUUAAUUGAUGUUUAAAGACGAGAAGACCCUAUAGAGUUUAAUAUUUUUAUAAUUUUAUAUUUUUUGGUAUUUAUUUAUAAAUUUAUAAAAAUAUUUAGUUGGGGUGACUUAAAGAUUUAAUAAACUCUUUAAAAUUUUUGUUAUUGAUUUAUAAAUUUAAAUUCUUUUGUUUAAAAGUUUAAAAUAAAUUACCUUAGGGAUAACAGCGUUAUUUCCUUUAGAAGUUCUUAUUUUAAGGGGAGUUUGCGACCUCGAUGUUGGAUUAAAAUUAAUGUUUGGUGAAGUAGCUAAAUUAUUAAGUCUGUUCGACUUUUGAAAUUUUACAUGAUCUGAGU
rnacentral:rRNA from 1 species